GUGGCAGUCUUUCUGUGGUUCCAGCACUGAGCAGUGUGCUGCAACCAGUGCGACUCCACACAGAGUGAGGCUGGUUCCUGCCGACAGGGCCUGUAAAGGCAUUGGUUUCCCUGUGCGAUGGUUCCAUACAUU